rnacentral:rRNA from 1 species
ACGUAGGGGGCGAGCGUUGUCCGGAAUGACUGGGCGUAAAGGGCGCGUAGGCGGCCGAUUAAGUCUGGAGUGAAAGUCCUGUUUUUAAGGCGGGAAUUGCUUUGGAGACUGGUUGGCUUGAGUGCGGAAGAGGUAAGUGGAAUUCCCAGUGUAGCGGUGAAAUGCGUAGAGAUUGGGAGGAACACCAGUGGCGAAGGCGACUUACUGGGCCGUAACUGACGCUGAAGCGCGAAAGCGUGGGGAGCGAACAG